rnacentral:rRNA from 1 species
AGAUUGAACGCUGGCGGCAUGCCUUACACAUGCAAGUCGAACGGCAGCACGGGAGCAAUCCUGGUGGCGAGUGGCGAACGGGUGAGUAAUACAUCGGAACGUGCCCAAUCGUGGGGGAUAACGCAGCGAAAGCUGUGCUAAUACCGCAUAAGAUCUACGGAUGAAAGCAGGGGAUCGCAAGACCUUGCGCGAAUGGAGCGGCCGAUGGCAGAUUAGGUAGUUGGUGAGGUAAAGGCUCACCAAGCCUUCGAUCUGUAGCUGGUCUGAGAGACGACCAGCCACACCGGGACUGAGACACGGCCAGACUCCGUACGGAGCAGCA